GACGAACGCUGGCGGCGUGCUUAACACAUGCAAGUCGAACGGAAAGGCCCUGCUUUUGUGGGGUGCUCGAGUGGCGAACGGGUGAGUAACACGUGAGUAACCUGCCCUUGACUUUGGGAUAACUUCAGGAAACUGGGGCUAAUACCGGAUAGGAGCUCCUGCUGCAUGGUGGGGGUUGGAAAGUUUCGGCGGUUGGGGAUGGACUGGCGGCUUAUCAGCUUGUUGGUGGGGUAGUGGCUUACCAAGGCUUUGACGGGUAGCCGGCCUGAGAGGGUGACCGGCCACAUUGGGCCUGAGAUACGGCCCAGACUCGAACGGGAGGCAGCAGUGGGGAAUAUUGCACAAUGGGCGGAAGCCUGAGGAAGCAGCGCCGCGUGCGGAAUGCCGGCCUUCGGGUUGUAAACAGCUUUCGCCUGUGACGAAGCGUGAGUGACGGUAAUGGGUAAAGAAGCACCGGCUAACUACGUG
rnacentral:rRNA from 1 species